rnacentral:rRNA from 1 species
UGGUGGAGUGAUUUGUCUGGUUAAUUCCGUUAACGAACGAGACCUCAGCCUGCUAAAUAGUAUGCUUUUUCUCACGAAAGAGUAGGACUUCUUAGAGGGACAUUUCGGUUUUACCGGAAGGAAGUUUGAGGCAAUAACA